GCAUGUCUAAGUAUAAGCUGUUAUAUGGUGAAACUGCGAAUGGCUCAUUAAAACAGUUAUCGUUUCCUUGACAGUCAUCUAGUUUUGGAUACCUAUGGUAAUUCUAGAGCUAAUACAUAGGCAUGGACCCGACUCUUGUGAAGGGUUGUGCUUGCUAGAUUUGAAACCAAUACAGGCUUUGCCUGAUCCUAGGUUGACUCAUAGUAACCAAUGAAUCGCGUGCUUCGUGCGGCGAUGUGUCAUGCAAGUUUCUGACCUAUCAGCUUCCGACGGUAGGGUAUUGGCCUACCGUGGCUUUGACGGGUAACGGAGAAUUAGGGUUCGAUUCCGGAGAGGGAGCCUGCGAAACGGCUACCACAUCUAAGGAAGGCAGCAGGCGCGCAAAUUACCCAAUCCUGACAUAGGGAGGUAGUGACAAGAAAUACCAAUACGAGGCAAUCACGUCUAGUAAUUGGAAUGAGUGAUGUGUACAACGCAUCGCGAGUAUCAAUUGGAGGGCAAGUCUGGUGCCAGCAGCCGCGGUAAUUCCAGCUCCAAUAGCGUAUAUUAAAGUUGUUGCGGUUAAAAAGCUCGUAGUUGGAUGUCUGUCGGUGAGUGGCGGUCCACCCCCUGUGGUGAGCACUCGUCAAUGCACCGACAUCUUCCUGGGGAAUGCUUUGCACUUUGCUGUGUGAUGUACUAUCCAGGGCGUUUACUUUGAGGAAAUGAGAGUGUUUCAAGCAAGCAUCUGCCGUGAAUACGUUAGCAUGGAAUAAUAGUAUCGGACCUCGAUCUGAAGCUGUUGGUGGUUUGGGCCGGGGUAAAGGUGAAUAGAGAUUGUUGGGGGCAUUCGUAUUUAACUGUCAGAGGUGAAAUUCUUGGAUUUGUUGAAGACGGACUAC
rnacentral:rRNA from 1 species